rnacentral:rRNA from 1 species
GACGAACGCUGGCGGCGUGCUUAACACAUGCAAGUCGAACGAAGUGGCGAACGGGUGAGUAACGCGUAAUCAACCUGCCCUUCAGGGGGGGAUAACAGUUGGAAACGACUGCUAAUCCCGCAUACUGAAGGAGGGGAUUGCGUGUGAUUAGCUCGUUGGGGGGGUAACGGCCCACCAAGGCGAUGAUCAGUAGGCGGUUCUGGAGGGUGGACGGCCACAUUGGGACUGGGACACGGCCCAGACUCCUACGGGAGGCAGCCGUGGGGAAUCAUCCGCAAUGGACGGAAAGCUGACGGAGCAACGCCGCGGGAGAGAUGACGGCCUUCGGGGUGUAAAGCUCUUUUAAGCGGGACGCGGUACCGGAAUAGAAAGCCACGGCUAACUACGUGCCAGCAGCCGCGGUAAUUC